UACAGAGGUCUCAAGCGUUGUUCGGAUUCAUUGGGCGUAAAGGGUGUGUAGGUGGCGCCGUAAGUCGGGUGUGAAAUUUCGGAGCUUAACUCCGAAACUGCAUUCGAUACUGCGGUGCUUGAGGACUGGAGAGGAGACUGGAAUUCGAUGGUGUAGCAGUGAAAUGCGUAGAGAUCAUGAGGAAGACCAGUGGCGAGGGCGGGUCUCUGGACAGUUCCUGACACUGAGACACGAAGGCCAGGGGAGCAAACGGG
rnacentral:rRNA from 1 species